rnacentral:rRNA from 1 species
CCCUUAGAUGUCCGGGGCCGCACGCGCGCUACACUGAAGGAAUCAGCGUGGCUUUCUCCCUGACCCGAAAGGGUUGGGAAACCCGUUGAAUCUCCUUCGUGAUAGGGAUUGGGGCUUGAAAUUGUUCCCCAUGAACGAGGAAUUCCCAGUAAGCGCGAGUCAUAAGCUCGCGUUGAUUACGUCCCUGCCCUUUGUACACACCGCCCGUCGCUACUACCGAUUGAGUGGUUCGGUGAGGCUUUGGGAUCUGAGCGGAAAGAGCGUUUCGCUGUUUCUGCUCGGAAAACUCAGUCGAACCUUAUCAUUUAGAGGAAGGAGAAGUCGUAACA